UACGUAGGGACCAAGCGUUGUUCGGAUUUACUGGGCGUAAAGGGCGCGUAGGCGGCGUGGUAAGUCACUUGUGAAAUCUCUGAGCUUAACUCAGAACGGCCAAGUGAUACUGCUGUGCUAGAGUGCAGAAGGGGCAAUCGGAAUUCUUGGUGUAGCGGUGAAAUGCGUAGAUAUCAGGAGGAACACCGGUGGUGUAAACGGCUUUCUGGACCAUAACUGACGCUGAGGCACGAAAGCGUGGGUAGCAAACAGG
rnacentral:rRNA from 1 species